UUUGCUAGGAAGAUGUUCAAGGGAGUUCUAGCCCUUGAACUUGUUGCUGUAUUUGGAGUGUAUGCUUUAUAUCAUGCGAUGAACUCUAGUCGAGAUUUCAGGAGUACAAUGAACAGAAGAUUUCCAUCCAUUUUGGACGGAUCAAGCUAAGGCAGUCCUUACCGAUGAAAGAAGAUCACAUCCACAGGAAUUUGAGUCUCAUCUUUGGCAAGGAACUCCUCACCAUUCACUGAAGAUCACAAAAAGAGAAUGCUUAGCUCUGAACCCAAAAGCUGGUGACGUGACAACUCUACUGUUAUGCCAACACCUAACAUGGGAGAACUCACCUGGCAGAGAGCGAACAUUGUUCAUGGAUUGCCUGUGCUUAGGUUUCAUCACUACGGCAUCUGUGUUUUCUGUUGAACACAAAAAGACAAGUUGAUGCAAGCCAUUUUCAGAGCCAAUGUUUGCAUUUAAGCAUGAAUGUGUACUUAAACAUUUAUUCAUGUUACAUUUAUUCAUUUGGCAGGUACUUUUAUCCAAAGUGACUUACAGCA